ensembl:lncRNA
CAGAGCUUUGUUUGCUGGCUGCUGGCUGGAGGUGACGGAGGCACAUGGCUGUAUGGGGCUGGGAGCCCGGAAAAUAACCAAGAUCGGAAGAGGUUUCAUGCUUUCUCAUCAUCUGCAAAACCAUUCUCUCAGCAGGGGAAUUUUCUGCUCUGCAGUUUCUCUGGUUUGGAAGUGAAGCAGUUUAACAAUUUGUCCUGGAGGAAACAGAAGACGCUUAUACGGGAGCCUGCAGUUAGCAACCAUGAGGGCGGACCCCAUUCAGAUUAAUCCAAUAGGUGGUCAGAGUCGUUUGUCUGGAUCCCAUGACUACAAUUCUGGUCGUAGCCUUGUUGCAACAUGGAAACUGUAGGAAUUGUACAGGGAAAAGGAGAAUGCCUUCCUGCAGUGACCAGGCUGAGGAAUAAAGCGAGGAACAGGUCGUGACUGUGCCAACCUGCCUAGCCCAAGACCAAGACCCAGCCCUACCUGACUUCAAGAUGGGUGUUGAGCCAUCUGCUCAGCGAAGCAGCCAGGCUACCACCAGUUUGCAACACCAUUCCCAGCAGAUAGCUCUCUCAACACAGGUUUUCGUGAUCUGUGAGCACGGACAAGCUCCCAGGAUGCACAAGGAGCACAGCAGACCUGCAUGCCCAAGGCAGUCUGUGCUGGCUGCGACGCAAGCAGAGCUGAGACAGUGGAUGCUUUAAUUUUCUCACUGGCCCUAGCGCAUGGGCCAGCUGCCUGGCAACUUACAGCAGCUCAGCCCUUGCCUUAAUCACCAGUGCAAUCUGCUGUGCCCAGAGCUGUUUCUGAAGGCUGGGUGGUGGAGCUGCUGUCUACUCAGGCGGCUUACCUGGGAGAAACCUAACCUGUGUUCCACACAUUGCAUCUGCUGCCAAGUGAAAGCAAGGCACUGACAGCUGCCAGGCAGCACAGCUAAUUUCAGUGCAGGUCUCUCCCUGCACACCAUGAGACAAGUGAGCCCGACUAUCACAGCACAGGGGCUGCAAUGCGUGUGCAUGCUGCCCAGCAGCAGGUGUGCAGACGACAGCUGGCAACGCUCCUUCCUGGUGGCUGAAGCUGUGGAAGGCAUGCAAGUAAAUAGCGAGAAGGCUGUUGUGAUCAGAACUUACUCAAGAGGCAGAAGAUGUCAGCAGAACACUGUGGAAAACUCCUGCCUUCCUGCUUGCCUUUCUGAUCCUUGCGGCCUGAGAUACCUACACGCCUUGUCAGCAUCACAGAAAGAGUUCCUGAGGUCUCA